AAUAUUGGAUACAUAUCAGAUUUCGGACCACAUAUGAAAGUGGUCUGGGUCGGAUUUGAAAAAAUAUGAUUUAUGCUGUUCAAACUGUCUUUAACAGAUGGGAUACAGGUCCCAUAUGGGCAAACAAAUCGGAUUUGGGCCACAUUUGCCUGCAGUCUGAACAUAGCCUUAGAAUCAUGCUUUUUGGAUCA